rnacentral:rRNA from 1 species
CCUACGGGGGACUGCAGUGGGGAAUUUUGGACAAUGGGCGCAAGCCUGAUCCAGCUAUUCCGCGUGCAGGAUGACGGCCCUACGGGUUGUAAACUGCUUUUAUACGGGAAUAACGCGCCUUACGUGUAGGGCUUUGCAUGUACCGUAUGAAUAAGGACCGGCUAAUUCCGUGCCAGCAGCCGCGGUAAUACGGAAGGUCCGGGCGUUAUCCGGAUUUAUUGGGUUUAAGGGGAGCGUAGGCCGCAUGUCAAGCGUGCUGUGAAAUGUCCGGGCUCAACCCGGGCCUUGCAGCGCGAACUGGCGUGCUUGAGUCCGCGGAAAGCAGGCGGAAUUCGUCGUGUAGCGGUGAAAUGCUUAGAUAUGACGAAGAACCCCGAUUGCGAAGGCAGCUUGCUGCAGCGGAACUGACGCUGAUGCUCGAAAGCGCGGGUAUCGAACAGGAUUAGAUACCCUGGUAGUC